rnacentral:rRNA from 1 species
CAGUCGCCGCGGUAAUACGAAGGGUGCAAGCGUUAAUCGGAAUUACUGGGCGUAAAGCGUGCGUAGGCGGUUUGUUAAGUCUGUUGUGAAAUCCCCGGGCUCAACCUGGGAAUGGCAAUGGAUACUGGCAAGCUAGAGUGUGUCAGAGGACGGUGGAAUUCCCGGUGUAGCGGUGAAAUGCGUAGAGAUUGGAAGGAACAUCAGUGGCGAAGGCGGCCAUCUGGGACAACACUGACGCUGAAGCACGAAAGCGUGGGGAGCAAACAGGAUUAGAUACCCCGGUAGUCCCUGUCUCUUAUAA